GGCUAGUGCCCACUCCUCCCGCUCGGCUGGAGGCCCAGGGCGGGCCAGGCCCUCUGCAGAGGCACACCCGCCCCCAAGCCCAGGUCUCCUGCCUCCUCUCCACUUUGCUAAAUGCUCAGAUUAAGGCUCCUCCCUCGAAGCAAUUGUCCAUCCCUACACCCGUCUCAUGGAUACAUAAGAGUGCAUCUCAUGAAUAUUUUAUUUUAGCAAUGACCAAGGUCAAACUCUUCAGAAGAAAACUGAGACAAAGAAAAUGAACAGCUCGGCCCCUGUCACAGGGUAGAACGGGAGCAAAACCGAAGUCCCCUCUGCCCCAGCUAAGAGCCCUGUCCACUCUUUUUGUGACUUUAGCACUUACUCAUGUAGCCGCAGCAUCGCUGCCACCGACCCGCGUCCCAGAAGAAUCCCUGUGUUCAGUUCCGUGGAGCCUCCCCACCCGAAGAGCACAGGGGCUCCUUGAGGGCAGGGACGGAACCUUUCACGCCCUUGGCUUGCAUGGAGUGAGAAGACAGAGCAAAGGACAGCCGGAUUUAAUUAGCUAAAUCUCAGCUCAGACAGCACCAGAUCCUUCCCCCCGGCCACCUCCCACUGCCCCAGCAAUCUCAGCCGGCACACGUCUCCUGAUUGCAUUUCCAGGUCCUCCCGUGCCUUUGAUGAACUUCUGUGUUUUUCAGCCGCUGAAACGGCAGAAGCAGCCAUUGUGUUGCCCCAGGUGGGAAAUAGCGCUGUAGGGAACAGGCAGUUAAUAAGCUUAACAGGUAGGGACAGAGGCUCGUUAAUGGUUGCUCUGUGAUUUGUGGCUAGUUCCUCCCAGCCCCUAAAUCUUGAAAUAAAUAUAUUCAGAGACUUCGUUAUCCCAGAAGAGGAUGUGGAUCAUUUUUCUUUCAUUAACAACGGAGCCACCACAGCAACGUGUGUAUUAUCCGUGCAUUUCCAAGCCCAGAAGCUUGUCCCUUUAAAGCUGCUUGCACUGAAGUUUGAUCAGCCUUUGAUGAAAGAAGACUUACAGAUAGCAGACAACCUGGUAACCAUCUGUGCCCAAUGCAUAUUAAAAGAGAUGUAAACUCACCAAAGCUUCCCAGCAUAUAUCAGUUUAUCCACUCCAGGGAAGACAGAGGAUGAUUAGAUAAUCUGGGACCAAAUCUCUGGACUCAGCAGGGCCAUGUUAAUGAGGAACUUUGCUGAAGUGAACAGCAGGCGGGUACCCUCAAGAAAGGAAAUUUCUGGAUGGAGGGUGUCUCCAACUUUUCCUCUUUCUGGUUAUCUCUCUGACGUGGUAGACGCUUAGGGAUGUCUCUGUCCAACCACAAGACCACACACACAUCCCUGAGCCCUAACAGGUGUGGGUCCAGGCAGCUACGUCAUUACAUCCUAUGACCCUCUGUGACCACCUUCCCCGGCGCCUCAUGUCCAUACAUCCUUGGAGAAGCUUUUGGCCCAGGCUGAGAGGCGUCUUCUGCAAUCGGAACUCAGGGCAUCACCAUAUCCUCCGUCUGACAAUCCGCUCUGACCAUCUCAACUGCUCAGAUAUUUUUCUGUGACUUUGGAAUGGACGCGGAGAGGACCAACUCAGACGUUUGAGAAACAUCCUUGUAACGUUGGGAGUGGAAGGGGCGGCAUCUUCUGCCACGUGCUGGGAGAAACAGCCAAGGCUGGUGCGGCGGAAGAACAAAAACAAAUCGGCUCAGCCCUCAGCUCUUGGAAGGAUCCGAGCAGCUGCAGAAGCGCCAGGUCUCAGGAUUCAAAAGUCCCACCAAC
ensembl:lncRNA